rnacentral:lncRNA from 1 species
CGUUCCUGGCUGCUGCAUUCACCUCCAGCGUUUGUGAUGCCCCAGAGCACAGAACUCCAGGGAGCCCACGAUGCAGGAGAGUUCAGCGACAUUCACUGAGUACAAGAGAAGACUGUUGGGAGGCACCAAUGGACUUUGCAACUGGAGAUCUCCCAACUGGACCAUGUCACUGUUAUGUUUAAUUUGCACUGUGCACAGUAGGUACCCAGUCAACGUUUGUCGAAUUCCAUGGACUGGGCCUUAUACCUCCGAGGAUUUUUCACAGCAGUAGCAUGUGCACAUGCACAGAACGAGAACACAACCAAUGCUUGUUUGCUGGUGAAGACCUGGUCUCAGUAUUUUGCCCAGGAAACCCUUUCUUCAUGGACAGCAUGAGGCAAGCUAUGGCCCUUGCUGUGGUCUCAGUGGUUCAGCACGGAAGAUGAAGAUGACGGGCAGUCUCAGAAUAUUAGCUUUAGAAGGGACUUUGGAUCCUUUUGAUUUUGGUAGGUGAAAUACUUUUUAAAAAUAAAGAAAACGGACUUUGGA